rnacentral:rRNA from 1 species
UACAGAGGUCUCAAGCGUUGUUCGGAAUCACUGGGCGUAAAGGGUGCGUAGGCCGCACGGUAAGUCAGGUGUGAAAGCCCGGAGCUCAACUUCGGAAUUGCACCCGAUACUGCCGUGCUUGAGGACUGGAGAGGAGACUGGAAUUUACGGUGUAGCGGUGAAAUGCGUAGAUAUCGUAAGGAAGACCAGUGGCGAAGGCGGGUCUCUGGACAGUUCCUGACGCUGAGGCACGAAGGUCAGGGGAGCAAACGGG